AGUAAAAAACGUAAGGAAAGGUGGUCUGAUAGAUCAAAGGGCACGAUGGGAAAAGGACAAUGGAUCCACAAUUUGAGGAAAGAGGAUCUGGUGCAAUGCGCUCAGGCGGUUGGCGUACGAUUAGAGGGGACGCUAGACGAGAUGAGGAAGGCGUUCAAAGAGUGGGUUAGAGAACACGGCGGAGAGCCAGAGUAUGCGGAUCUACUGGAGGUCUGGGAAUGUCGGGCGAGCAGAACGUCGCCGAUGCCUCGGGCUGACGACAAGCCGGCCACGUAUGAGCAACUCGCUCUACCUCAAGGGAAGGCGGCGGCGGCGCUAUGGAAGUCCCCGGCUGAGUUUCAGCAGGAGCUCAUCGCGAGCCUGGCGGUGCCCGAG
rnacentral:lncRNA from 1 species